GAAGGUGUGGAUGACGUCAAGUCAUCAUGCCCCUUACACCCUGGGCUACACACGUACUACAAUGCUACGGACAAAGGGCAGCAAACUCGCGAGAGCUAGCAAAUCCCAUAAACCGUGGCUCAGUUCAGAUCGUAGGCUGCAACUCGCCUACGUGAAGUAGGAAUCGCUAGUAAUCGCAGGUCAGCAUACUGCGGUGAAUACGUUCCCGGGCCUUGUACACACCGCCCGUCACACCAUGGAAGUUGGCCAUGCCCGAAGUCGUUACUCCAACCCUUGUGGAGGAGGACGCCGAAGGUGGGGCUAAUGACUGGGGUGAAGUCGUAACAAGGUAGCCGUACCGGAAGGUGCGGCUGGAUCACCUCCUAACAGGGAGACAACAAAAUGUUUAAUAUUAUUAUUUUGUCACCUUAGGUCGAUCGGUAUCUCACGUUCUUAAUUUAUUAAGAAUUUCAUUUCCUAAGUUUUUCUAGGUCACACCCAUUAUUUUUCCUGGGCCAUUAGCUCAGGUGGUUAGAGCGCACCCCUGAUAAGGGUGAGGUCCCUGGUUCAAGUCCAGGAUGGCCCAUAUCUCUAUGUUGGGGGUAUAGCUCAGUUGGUAGAGCGCCUGCUUUGCAAGCAGGAUGUCAGCGGUUCGAGUCCGCUUACCUCCACUGAUUACCACCUCUUCCAUAAUUUGUAGAAAGGAAAUUUCUUGAGUUGUGAUCAUAAUUCUGAACGAAUCUAGCUUCCUAAUGAAAUCAUUAAGAUGCUGGACUCAUUGAAUUAAAUUCAUUGUUUUCAGAGAACCUUGACAACUGCAUAGAUUAUUUUUAAAGACAAUAAGCAUUUUUAAUAAUGCAGAUUUAUUAUUUGUGCAAAUGCAUUAAUAACAAUUCUAUUAAGCUGAUGCUUCAAUUUUGAAGUUAUUGGUCAAGCUACAAAGGGCUCACGGAGGAUACCUAGGCACACAGAGGCGAUGAAGGACGUGGUUACCUGCGAUAAGUCUCGGGGAGUGGA
rnacentral:sRNA from 1 species